GUCCAGCAUGGCUCAGUCGCUAUGGCAUAAGACCCUUAAUCUCAGGGUUGUGUGUUUGAGCCCCACGUUGGGCA